rnacentral:tRNA from 1 species
GGGGAUUUAGCUCAGUGGUAGAGUGCUUGCCUAGCAAGCGCGUGGCCCUGGGUUCGGUCCCCAGCUCCG